AGAAUUUUAAGUUAUUUAAACUGAAAACCUUCAAAGUUUUUAAAAAAAGUUUUACUCUUUUAAAUUCUA
rnacentral:tRNA from 1 species